rnacentral:rRNA from 1 species
UGCCUCAGUAACGGCGAGUGAAGCGGCAACAGCUCAAAUUUGAAAUCUGGCCCCCUCGGGGUCCGAGUUGUAAUUUGUAGAAGAUGCUUCGGGCGUGGCACCGGUCUAAGUUCCCUGGAACGGGACGUCGUAGAGGGUGAGAAUCCCGUAUGCGACCGGCCGCCUCCGCCCAUGUGAAGCUCUUUCGACGAGUCGAGUUGUUUGGGAAUGCAGCUCAAAAUGGGUGGUAAAUUUCAUCUAAAGCUAAAUAUUGGCCAGAGACCGAUAGCGCACAAGUAGAGUGAUCGAAAGAUGAAAAGCACUUUGGAAAGAGAGUUAAACAGUACGUGAAAUUGUUGAAAGGGAAGCGCUUGCAACCAGACUUGCGCGCGGCCGAUCAUCCGGGGUUCUCCCCGGUGCACUCGGCCGCGCUCAGGCCAGCAUCGGUUUCGGUGGCGGGAUAAAGGCCGCGGGAAUGUGGCUCCUCUCGGGGAGUGUUAUAGCCCGCGGCGCCAUGCCGCCCACCGGGACCGAGGACCGCGCUUCGGCUAGGAUGCUGGCGUAAUGGCUGCAAGCGGCCCGUCUUGAAACACGGACCAAGGAGUUGACCACUGGCGCGAGUGUUUGGGUGUCAAACCCAUCCGCGCAAUGAAAGUGAACGCAGGUGAGAACCCUUAAGGGUGCAUCAUCGACCGAUCCUGAAGUCUUCGGAUGGAUUUGAGUACGAGCGUCAUUGGUCUGACCCGAAAGAUGGUGAACUAUACUUGAAUAGGGUGAAGCCAGAGGAAACUCUGGUGGAGGCUCGCAGCGGUUCUGACGUGCAAAUCGAUCGUCAAAU